UGAUAGCAAUGAAGCGCGAGGUUGCUGCCGCAAGGCAGGUUUUCCGUGGAGCGAAUGUCAAGGCCGGGCGACCGGCUAACAAACUGGCGACA
rnacentral:ncRNA from 1 species